CAAAACCUUCCUGGGCUCAUUGAAAAGCUCAAACGUAGCCCCUUUGAGUUCCAGCCAGAUUGCAUGCUGUCGUCAGCUCGUGUCGUAAUGUUGGGUUAAGUCCGCACGAGCGCACCCUCAUCUCCAGUUCCAGCGGGUAAUGCCGGGGACUCUGGAGGGCUGCCGGUGCCAACCGGAGGAAGGUGGGGCGCGUCAAGUCAUCAUGGCUCUUACGUCCAGGGCUACACACGUGCUCCAAUGCCGAGACAGAGGGUCGCGAACCCGCGAGGGGGAGCCAAUCCCCAAACUCGGCCUCAGUUCGGAUUGUAGUCUGCAACUCGACUACAUGAAGCUGGAAUCGCUAGUAAUCGUGGAUCAGUACGCCACGGUGAAUACGUUCCCGGGCCUUGUACACACCGCCCGUCACGCCAUGGAAGCUGUGAGCGCCCGAAGUUCGGUGUUCGGAACCCCGCAAGGGGACCAAGCCGCCUAAGGCGAGCGCAGUGACUGGGGCGAAGUCGUAACAAGGUAAC
rnacentral:rRNA from 1 species